UGGGGAAUCUUGGACAAUGGGCGCAAGCCUGAUCCAGCCAUGCCGCGUGAGUGAAGAAGGCCUUCGGGUUGUAAAGCUCUUUUACCAGGGACGAUAAUGACGGUACCUGGAGAAUAAGCCCCGGCAAACUUCGUGCCAGCAGCCGCGGUAAUACGAAGGGGGCUAGCGUUGUUCGGAAUUACUGGGCGUAAAGCGCACGUAGGCGGAUUGUUAAGUCAGAGGUGAAAUCCCGGAGCUCAACUUCGGAACUGCCUUUGAUACUGGCAAUCUAGAGUCCGGAAGAGGUUAGUGGAAUUCCCAGUGUAGAGGUGAAAUUCGUAGAUAUUAGGAAGAACACCAGUGGCGAAGGCGGCUCACUGGCCCUAUACUGACGCUGAGGUGCGAAAGCGUGGGGAGCAAACAGGAUUAGAUACCCGCGUAGUCCCUGAGCGGGCUGGCAAGGCGCAU
rnacentral:rRNA from 1 species